rnacentral:rRNA from 1 species
CAUUGUCGAACCCUACCCAGCAGAAUGACUAGAGAA